UUUCCAGCCGCCGCGGUAAUACGUAGGGUGCAAGCGUUGUUCGGAAUCACUGGGCGUAAAGAGAGCGUAGGCGGGAUUGUAAGUUAGAAGUUUAAUACAAGGGCUUAACCCUUGACCGGCUUUUAAUACUGCAGUUCUUGAAUGUGGGAGAGGGCGAUGGAAUUCCAGGUGUAGCGGUGGAAUGCGUAGAUAUCUGGAAGAACACCAGUAGCGAAGGCGGUCGCCUGGCCUAACAUUGACGCUGAGGCUCGAAAGCUAGGGGAGCAAACAGGAUUAGAUACCCCUGUAGUCC
rnacentral:rRNA from 1 species